CCAUGAUGGCGCCACGGUGUAGACCAGCAUCAACCUGGAAAACUGUGUCAAGUGCCGAAAUGCCGGAUUCAGAAUUGCAGCUGUAUGGUCGUUGGCAGAAUGUUGCAAAGUUGGCUUAUCACAAGAUUGACUCGAUGCAUACUGGAUAGCGAUGUCAGAACAUAUUCCCUGAAUAUGAGAUAAGAUUAAGUGGCUGAUUAACAGGACCACCUACAUGAAACAAACAGUUGUUUAAGAAAUAAAGGACAGACCCAGUGCAUAGAAGCUCCCACACAAGGUGGGGUCUGGGGAGGGAUUAUAGGAACCUAGUCUUACCCCUGCAAAGUGCAAUGCAGAGAGGCUGGUUCGAACCCAGGACCUCUUGGCACAAGUGGGGAGGACUUCAAUGACUAGAUGAAUUUCAUAAUAAAGUGCCGUAACACUUGUGAAAAGUAAUCUAGAUGAGGUAAUGAAGGGCGUCCAAAAAAAUAACAUGACAUAUAAACACUUGAGCUCAUUAACAUACUUCGUUUCAACUUUUCUUUCUCACAGGCAUAAGCUUGUUUGGCUCAGAAUAAUAACAGAGUAGUAUGAUACAUCACAGCUUGCCCUCCCGUUUAUUUUAUUUAAUUUUCUAUUUCUUAAAGGACGAAAACCUUUGGAGUAAAAUCUCAUUUUGUUUUGCUUAUCCCCAGUAACAUACUUGCAAAAUUAGUUCAAGAGUGAUCAAUCCACAAACAGCAUAACAAUUAUGUAAAUAGGUUCAAUCACUUCAUUGAUUUUCAAGGAAAAGUGUGUAACUGGAAAGUUAAGCCAACUAGUCAGAUACCUGCAACGUGCUUGAGCGAGUCUGCAUGCCAAAAAAUAGUGAAGGGAACGUGCACCUUUGGUGAUUUAGUGGAAUUUUUUCUUGGACAGCAUAGCUUCAAUGGUUCCUUUGCC
rnacentral:lncRNA from 1 species